rnacentral:rRNA from 1 species
CCUACGGGAGGCAGCAGUGAGGAAUAUUGGUCAAUGGGCGGAAGCCUGAACCAGCCAAGUAGCGUGCGGGAUGAAGGCCCUACGGGUCGUAAACCGCUUUUGCACGGGGAUAACACCCUCCACUUGUGGAGGUCUGCAGGUACCGUGCGAAUAAGGGCCGGCUAAUUCCGUGCCAGCAGCCGCGGUAAUACGGAAGGCCCGAGCGUUAUCCGGAUUCAUUGGGCUUAAAGGGAGCGUAGGCGGGCGUUCAAGUCAGCUGUAAAAUGGCGCGGCUCAACCGCGGCCCGCAGUUGAAACUGGACGGCUUGGAGUCACAACAGGCAGGGGGAAUUCGUGGUGUAGCGGUGGAAUGCAU